rnacentral:rRNA from 1 species
GACGAACGCUGGCGGCGUGCUUAACACAUGCAAGUCGAACGGAAAGGCCCUGCUUUUGUUGGGUGCUCGAGUGGCGAACGGGUGAGUAACACGUGAGUAACCUGCCCUUGACUUUGGGAUAACUUCAGGAAACUGGGGCUAAUACCGGAUAGGAGCUCCUGCUGCAUGGGGGGGGUUGGAGAGUGUCGGCGGUGGGGGAUCGACUCGCUGCUUAUCAGUUUGUUGGUGGGGUAGUGGCUUACCAAGGCUUUGACGGGUAGCCUGCAUGGGAGGGUGGCCGGCGACCAUGGGACUGCGAUAGGGAGCAGAAUGCAAUGGGCGGCAGUAGUCGAGAGCAUUACACAGUGAGGGGGAGUGUGAUACGGCAACGCCGCGUGCGUAAAGCCGGGCUUUGGGUUGUAAACAGCUUUCUAAUGUGCCGAAGAGUGAGUGACGGUACUGGGUCAAGAAGCCACGGCUAACUACGUG